CCUACGGGCGGCAGCAGUCGAGAAUCAUUCACAAUGGGGGCAACUCUGAUGGUGCGACGCCGCGUGGGGGAAUGCAGGUCUUCGGAUUGUAAACCCCUGUCAUGUGGGAGCAAAUUAGAAAGAGAGUGCCACGAAAGGUAGAUACGGCUAACUCUGUGCCAGCAUCCGCGGUAAUACAGAGGUCUCAAGCGUUGUUCGGAAUCACUGUGCGUAAAGCGUGCGGAGGCUGUUUCGUAAGUCGGGUGUGAAAGGCGCGGGCUCAACCCGCGGACGGCACAUGAUACUGCGAGACUAGAGUAAUGGAGGGGGAACCGGAAUUCUUGGUGUAGCAGUGAAAUGCGUAGAUAUCGAGAGGAACACUCGUGGCGAAGGCGGGUUCCUGGACAUUAACUGACGCUGAGGCACGAAGGCCAGGGGAGCGAAAGGGAUUAGAUACCCCUGUAGUC
rnacentral:rRNA from 1 species